rnacentral:rRNA from 1 species
UACGUAGGCAGCGAGCGUUGUUCGGAGUUACUGGGCGUAAAGGGUGUGUAGGCGGUUGUUUAAGUUUGGUGUGAAAUCUCCCGGCUCAACUGGGAGGGUGCGCCGAAUACUGAAUGACUUCGAGUGCGGGAGAGGAGAGUGGAAUUCCUGGUGUAGCGGUGAAAUGCGUAGAUAUCAGGAGGAACACCGGUGGUGUAGACGGCUCUCUGGACCGUAACUGACGCUGAGACACGAAAGCGUGGGGAGCGAACAGG